GACGAACGCUGGCGGCGUGCUUAACACAUGCAAGUCGAACGGAAAGGCCCUGCUUUUGUGGGGUGCUCGAGUGGCGAACGGGUGAGUAACACGUGAGUAACCUGCCCUUGACUUUGGGAUAACUUCAGGAAACUGGGGCUAAUACCGGAUAGGAGCUCCUGCUGCAUGGUGGGGGUUGGAAAGUUUCGGCGGUUGGGGAUGGACUCGCGGCUCAUCAGCUUGUUGGUGGGGUAGUGGCUGACCAAGGCUUUGACGGGUAGCCGGCCUGGGAGGGUAACCGGACCCAUUGGGACUGGGAUGCGGCCCAGACUCCUACGGGAGGCAGCAGUGGAGUAUAUUACACAGUGGGCGGGGGCCUGGUGCGGCAACGCCGCGUGCGGGAUGACAGCCUUCGGGUUGUAAACCACUUUCGCCUGUGACGAAGCGUGAGUGGCGGUAAUGGGUAAAGAAGCACCGGCUAACUACGUG
rnacentral:rRNA from 1 species